rnacentral:rRNA from 1 species
AUCCUCAACUCAUGUGUGACUACCCCCAAAU